rnacentral:rRNA from 1 species
UACGAAGGGGGCUAGCGUUGCUCGGAAUCACUGGGCGUAAAGGGUGCGUAGGCGGGGCUUUAAGUCAGGGGUGAAAUCCUGGAGCUCAACUCCAGAACUGCCUUUGAUACUGAGGAUCUUGAGUUCGGGAGAGGUGAGUGGAACUGCGAGUGUAGAGGUGAAAUUCGUAGAUAUUCGCAAGAACACCAGUGGCGAAGGCGGCUCACUGGCCCGAUACUGACGCUGAGGAGCGAAAGCCAGGGGAGCAAACGGG